GCCCAGAGAGCCUUUGCUAGAGCGACUGCCAGCCGUUGGUUUACAGUGGGCGUUCAACUGCCAUUCUAAUUCUAGCAGCAUCUCCAUCACAGAUGUAGCAAAGGUUGGAGCUGAGUACUGGUGUGUGUCUCUAUGCCUGCAUUUGUGUGUGCGUGCGUACGUGCACGCGUCUAUAUGCUGCUCCACCCAGAUAGCCGGUUUGCUGAGACUGCUGCCUGCUGUUCCCUGUAUGGCGGUUGUGCCUGCUCACAUCCUCUGCACCGCACGUUCUCAGGGUUUAUUAGGCUGAGCGCGGCUAUGGAGUGCAGUCUGUCAUCAGUGCCUCCCCUUCCAGUAAAGAUACAAGGCUCCAGUUGUCCACGGCUUCCUCUUCUGAAGGAGGCCCUGUUUUUCAGGCUUUUUGAAAUGUCCCUUCGAUGCCCUCUGCUCACUCUGCAUUUAUUAGGAAAUUACGAU